GACUCCCUUCCGACUCCGCGCCUGCGCAGGAAGCGAUUUGGGGAGUGUUGUGAAUUCCGAGGGCUCCACACUUAAGAGGUUGUACACUCACCUGUCUACCUGGACUCCAAUUUCCAUAUUUCCAGCCACUUGAGGACUGAGAGGUGGAUGAUAAACCCUGUCAUAGUGGAGCAAGUUCAGGUGUUUAACCGCUGUUAUGGGGGAUCUGCCUUUUCUCCCUCUUCUUUCUUACUUCCAUAAGUAUGUAUGUGCAGAGAUUGAAAAAUAACCUUGAGAGAGUCCAUCCAUCUAACUCCAGGGAGUCGUGCUCUGUCACCCAGGCUGGAGUGUAGUGGCGCGAUCUCUGCUCUGCUCAUUGCAACCUCUGCCUCCCUGGUUCAAGCAAUUCUUCUGCCUCAGCCUCCCAAGUAGCUUGGAUUACAGGCGCCCGCCACCACACCCAGCUAAUUUUUGUAUUUUUAGUAGAGACGGGGUUUCACCGUGUUGGCCAAGCUGGUCUCGAACUCCUGACCUCGUGAUCCGCCCACCUUGUCCUCCCAAAGUGCUGGGAUUACAGGCGUGAGCCACCGCGCCCGGCCAAUAAGCUUUUUUCUUAAAAAGUACUCAGAAGACUUUUCUAUCCAUUCAUUCUGUUAACGCGCGUCAGUGUGAAGAGACCACCAAACAGGCUUUGG
rnacentral:lncRNA from 1 species